UACGUAGGGGGCGAGCGUUGUCCGGAAUCAUUGGGCGUAAAGCGCGCGUAGGUGGCCUCGUAAGUCCGCUGUGAAAGUCAAAGGCUCAACCUUUGAAAGCCGGUGGAUACUGUGAGGCUAGAGUACGGAAGAGGCGAGUGGAAUUCCUGGUGUAGCGGUGGAAUGCGCAGAUAUCAGGAGGAACACCAAUAGCGAAGGCAGCUCGCUGGGACGUUACUGACACUGAGGCGCGAAAGCGUGGGGAGCGAACAGG
rnacentral:rRNA from 1 species